GACCAUAUUGCAAAAACUGGUCAACAAAGUAGAUCACAACUUCUCUCCAACAAGCAACCAAAUAAAUGUGUGCCGGGACAAUGUUUUACUAUGCAGCCUGCGGGCGUUUAAACGGAAGUCCUUCGACCCUGAAGCAAAACUGGAUGUUGUCUUUGUGGAUGAAGAUGACAAUGGUGAAGGGGCAGUUGACGAAGGCGGCCCGACCAGAGAGUACCUAAGGCUGUUGAUGAGGGCCGUCCACCAAUCAAACAUCUUUGAUGGACAUGAGAAAGACCGGCAGUUGCGUCUUGAUACUCAAGCUUUACAGAGUAAACUGUACACCUGGGUGGGGAAAAUGAUUGCUGUGUGCGUCAUUGAGGAGUUGGUCCACAUUUCUUCUCGGAAAGGCUUUUCCAGCAAAUCUGUGGAGUAGAAACGACCCCGGCCACGGUCGAUGAAGUUGGCGACCAUACUUUUAGGCAGCAGUUGAUGAAAAUACAGGAAGCAACAACAGUCGGAGAGGCAAACGACACAAUUACAGAGGCAGCAGAUAGUCUCAAUAUUGUAGGGGCCUUGAGACAUGUGUCCACCCUUGAAGAGAAGGACUCCCUUGUCAAGUCAGCUGCUGACUUCUUUGUAAACGGCAGAUUGGCGACUGCCCUGGACCAGUAAGUAAUUGCCUCACCUGUCUUAUCUGUCCGAAAAAUUAAACUGUCAAUAGCCCAGGACAACUCACACUAUGGCACAUGUUUUCAUAGGUUUGCUGAUGGG